AUUCUUCAAAAGUUUCACUGACAUGAACCUCACUUGUGGGUGCCAGGUUAUGACCACAUGCAUAGUUUCAUCUUCAUCUUAUGCAACAUUUGGGGUAAAAGGAAGGUUAUGUGGUAACCAGUUUAUGACUUGAACUAUAGGCAAAGAUUGACCAGACCAAGCCCUGAGACACAGUGUUGAGAGCCAAGACAUAAAGUUGUGAAGAUUCAGACCCAGAGCCCAGCAGGGCACAGGCUGGAGGGGUGAUGUGAGUGAUCAGUAACACCAUGAAGACUCUGCUCCUGGGUCAGGAAUGCUUUUUUGUCCCUGUUUUUGGAUUUUCCACCAUGAUCAGCCAAUGCAGAAAGAAAUCUAAAGGUGAAGGAAAGGCAGCGUUCAGCACUGAGCAAGUCCAUGUUGGAGAAAGUUCACAGGGAAUUGGAAAUCCUUGUCUUCGUGGUUCCUGGCUCAGCAGGACCCCUGUGGGGCCUCUCCCUCUCUUGGGAAAGAGAUUGCUCUAGAAGGUUUACUACACCAGUGAGGAGAAGAUGAGCGCAAGGGGGAUUGGCCGGCUGAGGGCGAAAUCAAGACUGGAGCCAAGUGCGCUGAGCUCUCACAUGAGGUCCUUUGCUCCUGUUCCCUGGAGGCAUAAGUGGCUGGGGUAGAGAGA
rnacentral:lncRNA from 1 species